ensembl:snoRNA
AUCCUUUUGUGGGUCAUACCCAUGAUGAUUGGGUGUUCAUGCACAAAUACGAGAUGUGCCACCUUUUUACAACGUUGGCACAUUACCUGUCUGAUG